rnacentral:lncRNA from 1 species
UAUCACGACCAUUAUUUGUUCAUUCUCUUAAUCACUCAUACAUACUACUAGCUAAUAAAUAUACCAUACUUGGAUUAGAAAUUUCUUUGAUAAGACUAUUGAUUUUUCAUUUUGCGUAACAGAGGAAGUAUGUACACAUGUACUAUUUAUUUGGAGCAUCGAGCAUGGUAUGUGAAAUCUUGUCCGCUAGAAAGAGAUCCAAAUUCGCUUUUGCCAGGUGUAUGCAUGUAUGGCCGGUACUAAAAGGAAUAUACCCAAACUGUCAUAAUAUAAUAUUUGCAUGGUUUACAACACAUUCAAACGAUUCCUUCCCCCCUACCCCCUACCCCUAGCACUACCCCUAUCCCUAAUAACUAGUAAGUAGCCUGUCAUCCUCAUCUCACAUAACAAACUAGUUGCCCUAGUAAAUAAUAGAGCUAGCUACACAGUUCUUUAGUAAAGAACAAAUUUAAUUUCUAAAUGAGUGUUCGUGCGUGCACACAGUAGAAAUGGCCUUUAGUGUAAAGUUUGUGUCCGACCUGAUAAUCAGUAUGAGAAUACUCCACAUUUAGACAUUACUCAAUUGUGCUUUAAUAAUAAAAGAUCAUGCCCAAGUGGAAGACCGGUUGUUGAAAUAAUAGUACGAUUAAAUGGUUUUAAUUCGUUUUUUUUUUACCUAACAUGGAAUUCGAUUUCCGGUCCAACCCGAUUUUCAUAACCGAAGCACAAUUGAAUAUUGGGAGCCUAUUUAAAAUAAAAAUACCCAAGCUACCUAGCCUUCGUAUACAAAUUGCUUCAAAAGAGGAUCUCAUUCACAAGUGAGGAUCCAAACCCUUGUUAAGUUAACAUGUGAAGUAAGAUUUCCAGAGGAAUCAAGAAUUUGGAGACGCCACAAAAUUUGAAAAUAAAAUCGUCUCAAUCUCACCACCACCUCCCCACCAACUAAAAAACCUAGUCAAAUAAACCGUAUAGCAUGAUGGGUCCCAGCCCAAAAAAGCUAUUCACCGUCUCGACUCCUUGGCCAAACCAAACCAAGCCAAGCCCUUAUAAAAUGUCACUUCCUUAGGCCAUGGAGAUGCUGCACCAUUCUUUUUCAGUCCAAUAUUCUUAUUGAAUUCUAAUAGUAGUAAUAAUAAUAAUAAUACAGGAGAUCAGAGUUUGAAGAGGAGCUAGAGACGUACCAACUCAUACACAAGCACCGUGGCUGCUAUGAGACACUUAUCAUGUAUAGUAUUAACAGUUGUAAUGAUAAUGUUCAUAUUCUUUACUCAGCCAAGUAUUGUAGAUUCUAGAGUGCUUCUUCAUUCAACUUCAGCAACAAAGAAUGAGAAGAUUGCCGGCUCCAAAACGGCAGGCGGGCUUCCGGCUACCGGAAUAUCUGCACCUUCGGUUUCAGUAAGCCAUUUUGUUGAAAGAAAUCGAGUAUAUACACUAGCCUCUGGCCCGAGCAGAAAAGGACCUGGGCACAAGUGAAUUCCCAUUCCAAUUUCACCUUUUUUUCCUUCAUUUCAUUUGGUUUGUACUUAAAACAUUGGAGGUGUAUCAUAUUAAGAAUAUAGUGCAGCUAUAGUCUAUAGAUAUGAUUAGCUAAGCUCACUUUCUAUAUUUAAGAAAUUCUUUCAUUCUCUUUUCAGCUUUUGUAUGCGAACGUAUAAGCAGAACUCGACCAAUAUGGUCUAUGUUUCCAAUGAAAUAGUAGAAAUUAUGAACAUAGCUACCUACUAUUUUUAUUUUUUUAUUUUUGAUGACCACAAACAUUGACGACAUAUUAAAUUUUAAAAUUGGUAUGACUCAUAAAAGUUUAGAAUGAUAAAUUUUAAAAUUAAUAGUUUUUGUUAAUGUACUAUACAAUUAUAAUAAUUG